UUCUCUAGAUGACGAAGAUAUAUGGAGGUUUACUUUCUUCCCAUUGCUGUUAAGGAUGAUGGUGACUUAUUGACCCAAAUGAUCCUCUUCUUAUUGCUCUGUGCUACUGAAGUGGAACUCGAGAAGCCGCCCACUUCAAAUUUACUAACACAAAUUUCUAUUUAUUGGUCUUCUUUGUUUUUCUCUCAGGAGGUGGUGCAAAAACCAACAGCUUCUGUCAUACCGUUGUCAAAGGAUCACAACAGUGGCUCCCUGCAGCAAUAUGGAAUGGGUUAGUUUGCACUCAUGAGACGUGCUUAUAGAUAAGUUUGCACUCCUUCUAAUUUAUUCACUGAUCCAUUCUAAUUUAUGCACCCAUUUGUGAUUUCUGCUUCUAUUUUUAUAUGCUUUUAUGUUUUGUAUAUGCUUUUAUGUUUUGUAUGUUUAAAAGUUUAUGAAUGCAAUAAUAAAAUCUUCAUUGUUUAAACAUUUAAAAACUAUUUUUUUUUUUUUUAAACUAAGAACCUCACUUAUAAGAGUUUACCAUUGGAGGAGUACAAUUUUAAUUAACAAACAAAAGGUUCUUAUUUUAUAAAAGUACACUUUUUAAUACUAAAAAAUGUAAGAACCCAAAAAUACAAACCUACCAAUAAAGAUGCUCUAAGUACAGAAUAUGUGCCCUUGUAGAGAAUCUCAUCCGUCAGAUAUUUUUCUCAAUAUAUAAAACGUCUUUGUCCAUUAUAAUUUAGUGCGGGUCAUGUGUAUAACGCCAUAUUUUGUUUAUUUUUUGCUUUCGACUUUUGUAGUUGUGGCCCGUUACUUUUAUUUUGAAUUAUUAUUUUUGGAAUCUUUUUCAUGAGUCAUAUAUCAUAUUUAUGUCAUUUACUACGAAAACAAAUAUUGGGUGAGAUCAGUAAAAUAGAUCGAUGUCACCCAUACACAGUGCUGAGUGAUCAUGCAUGUUGACAACUUCUUCAUUGUUUCUACAUAUUUAUGUACAUAUCAAUUCAACAUGAAAUUAU